rnacentral:rRNA from 1 species
UACGAAGGGGGCGAGCGUUGUUCGGAUUUACUGGGCGUAAAGGGCGCGCAGGCGGCUAUCCAAGUCAGGCGUGAAAGCCCCGGGCUUAACCUGGGAGGUGCGUCUGGGACUGGGUGGCUAGAGUUCGGGAGAGGAGAGUGGAAUUCCCAGUGUAGAGGUGAAAUUCGUAGAUAUUGGGAAGAACACCGGUGGCGAAGGCGGCAACCUGGUCCUUGACUGACGCUGAGGCGCGAAAGCGUGGGGAGCAAACAGG